AGUCGGACGGGAUUGAGGAGCUUGCUUCUCAUGAGAGUGGCGCACGGGUGCGUAACACGUAUGUAACCUACCUUGUUCAGGGGGAUAGCCUCUCGAAAGAGAGAUUAACACCGCAUAAAAUCAAUUUAUGGCAUCAUAGAAUGAUCAAAUAUUUAUAGGAACAAGAUGGGCAUGCGGAACAUUAGCUAGUUGGUAAGGUAACGGCUUACCAAGGCUACGAUGUUUAGGGGAUCUGAGAGGAUGACCCCCCACACUGGUACUGAGACACGGACCAGACUCCUACGGGAGGCAGCAGUAAGGAAUAUUGGUCAAUGGACGCAAGUCUGAACCAGCCAUGCCGCGUGCAGGAAGACGGCCCCACGGGUUGUAAACUGCUUUUGUACCGGAAUAAACCUUUUCACGUGUGAGAAGCUGAAUGUACGGUAAGAAUAAGGAUCGGCUAACUCCGUGCCAGCAGCCGCGGUAAUACGGAGGAUCCAAGCGUUAUCCGGAUUUAUUGGGUUUAAAGGGUGCGUAGGUGGCCUAUUAAGUCAGGGGUGAAAGACGGUAGCUUAACUAUCGCAGUGCCUUUGAUACUGAUGGGCUUGAAUACACUUGAGGUAGGCGGAAUGUGACAAGUAGCGGUGAAAUGCAUAGAUAUGUCACAGAACACCAAUUGCGAAGGCAGCUUACUAAAGUGUUAUUGACACUGAGGCACGAAAGCGUGGGGAUCAAACAGGAUUAGAUACCCUGGUAGUCCACGCCCUAAACGAUGAAUACUCGAUGUUGGCGAUAUACGGUCAGCGUCUAAGCGAAAGCGUUAAGUAUUCCACCUGGGGAGUACGCCCGCAAGGGUGAAACUCAA
rnacentral:rRNA from 1 species